rnacentral:lncRNA from 1 species
UCUGAUAACUGUAUGUAUGAAAGUGGAAAAACCAUUCGGAGCAAGAUUCAGAGGAAACCAUUUGACCUAUAUAAAAUGUAAAUUCUGUGUUGUUAUAUUUUAAUUAUCUGCCAUUCUUUAAUGCAACUUUAGUUCUCUGUAUUCUCUUUUAAAGGAGAUUUUUUUUCAUUCAGGAUCAGAGAAAGCUGUAUUUUCUCAAAUGUUGAUGUGUUUAGAAAUUCCUGGCCUCUGUGCCCAGUUGCAAGCCAUCCAAAAUGACAUUGUUCAUUUUAUUUACGUUUUUGCAAAUAAUUGCCCUGUGUCAUGAACCUUCCCAUGUCUGCUCAUCAGAGAUAAGGAGAAGAUCCUCUUGAGCCCUCCCAUAAACACACACACAGAGUCAGGCUCCUUCAACAUGGGGACAUCCCUUCAAGAAUUUGCAUUUUCUCCUGCAGAAAGUCCAGAACUUUCUUCUCUCCCACCUACAUCCAGUCUUCUUAAAACAGAUUUCUGGCUAGGCGCAGUGGCUCACACCUAUAAUCCCAGCACUUUGGGAGGCUGAGGCGGGUGGAUCGCCUGAGGUCAGGAGUUCGAGACCAGCCUG